rnacentral:lncRNA from 1 species
AGCACAAUACAGGGGAAGUGCCACCUCUGUGAUCUCUGAGGGUUCAGAGGGACCUGGAGAACCAACAUCCCUUAGGCCAUCUAUCAAGAUGCCCUGUUCCAUGUUUCAGGGUCUCUAGUUUUCUCAACCAGGGCCAACUUUAACAUUACAGAUCUUCCCACCUGAGUAUUUAAAGUCUCUGGAGCUCUGAAAUUCUACUAGAUCUUAUGUUUACUGUCUGCUGCUCAGCUGUGUCCCCUCUUCCACGGCAGGAGGUAGAAGCCUCUUUGUAAGCUCCCAAUGAGACCCUCUGGUUCUCACCCUGAAGACUUUACCUGUUUGUUAAUGGUCUUUGGUUCUUUAUUAGCUCUCUGCAGAGUGUCAAUACAACUUAGCAAUAACCUUAACCACCACUCCACUGCCUUUGUGGGCAUUGCUCUCCUCUCACCUUUCGUAUGCCCGAAUCAUCAUACCUACAAGGGUAUUUUCCUCCACAAAGAUGCUUUUCCCCAUCACUGCCAGUGCAAUAUUUAGCAAAUGAACUGUGUGUCAGCGACUCAGGAUGGUAUCUUCUUUACCAGUCCAUGAACCCCAUCUUACUGCCCAUUAUCUUAUACCAUUCUUCGCAUCACUUAUGUUAGUUCGAGUCCUCUGAAAAGCAGAUGCCAAGAUGGAAUUCGACCUUUUAGAGAUUAAGGAGGAAAAUUUGGUAAGUAAAAAUGUGUAGGGAACUGGAGGAGGCCCUAAAGUCAUCUGACCAUGAUGCAAUUCUGACCUCUGAGAGGAGAGAGGGAAGGAGAAAAAAGGCUGGGUAGGAAAAGUCUUAGAAUUCUGGGCAAUUCAAGAAAGUUUCCUCAAGAUCUACAGGGAGUCCUCAAGUCAAAGUCUCUCAUAGAGGAGCCCCAACAUCUCUCAGGAAUGAGCCUGCCAUGGCAUCUUUGCUGAGCUCAGUCACUGUUCAGGCAGCAUGGUUGACAGUUGGCCUUGGUGUGAAGACAGCGACAGUUUUCAGAGCAUAGCAGCUGGGGUCCUCAGUCAACCUCGUUCCUCAUACUCAGAGAUCUGAGAGGCACAUUCCCACAGCUGCCACUUCCUCUUGAGGAUUCAGGCUUCUGUAUGGUCUGAAAGUCCACUGCAUUCAGUCAAUGGAUGAGAAGGGUGAGAAGCGACACACAUCUCUCUGCCCACAUUGGUGAGAAUCAAUCACAUGGAUGCACUUCACUGAAAGAAGAGUCU